GUCUUCAGUUAUACAUCCCCAAUGUGCCUGAUCUUGUCUGAUCUCAGAAGCUAAGAAGGAUGAAGCCUGGAAGUACUUAGAUGAGAGAAAGCUAAAUCACACC
rnacentral:rRNA from 1 species